rnacentral:rRNA from 1 species
GAGUUUGAUCAUGGCUCAGAUUGAACGCUGGCGGCAGGCCUAACACAUGCAAGUCGAGCGGUAGAGAGAAGCUUGCUUCUCUUGAGGAGCGGCGGACGGGUGAGUAAUGCCUAGGAAUCUGCCUGGUAGUGGGGGAUAACGCUCGGAAACGGACGCUAAUACCGCAUACGUCCUACGGGAGAAAGCAGGGGACCUUCGGGCCUUGCGCUAUCAGAUGAGCCUAGGUCGGAUUAGCUAGUUGGUGAGGUAAUGGCUCACCAAGGCGACGAUCCGUAACUGGUCUGAGAGGAUGAUCAGUCACACUGGAACUGAGACACGGUCCAGACUCCUACGGGAGGCAGCAGUGGGGAAUAUUGGACAAUGGGCGAAAGCCUGAUCCAGCCAUGCCGCGUGUGUGAAGAAGGUCUUCGGAUUGUAAAGCACUUUAAGUUGGAGGAAGGGCAGUAAAUUAAUACUUUAGCUGUUUGACGUUACCGACAGAAUAAGCACCGGCUAACUCUGUG